CGAGAAAGUUUAUUUUUACGGUGAGGAGAACGAUCCGACGAAGAGGAGGACGACGAAAAGCUACAUAAUCGGAGGUGGUCAGCGCAGAUGUUGCACUCGGUGCCGGCGGUUUACAACACCGCAACUUCCCGCCCACAAACACUCACGUCGCGACGGCGCAGCUUCAGCCGAAUGAAUCUGGACAGUGAGCCAAA
rnacentral:lncRNA from 1 species